UACGGGGGGGGCGAAGCGUUGUUCGGAAUUACUGGGCGUAAAGGGCUCGUAGGCGGCCAACUAAGUCGGACGUGAAAUCCCUCGGCUUAACCGGGGAACUGCGUCCGAUACUGGAUGGCUUGAGUGUGGGAGAGGUGAGUGGAAUUCCCAGUGUAGCGGUGAAAUGCGUAGAUAUUGGGAGGAACACCAGUGGCGAAGGCGGCUCACUGGACCGGUUCUGACGCUGAGGCGCGAAAGCGUGGGGAGCAAACGGG
rnacentral:rRNA from 1 species